CAGUAGCCACGGUAAUACGAGGGGUGCAAGCGUUAUUCGGAUUGAUUGGGUGUAAAGGGUGUGCAGACGGCUUAUUAAGUCACUUGUUAAGUUCUUCGGCCUAACUGAAGGUCUGCAAGUGAUACUGAUGAGCUAGAGGGUGGAAGAGAGAAGUGGAAUUCUCGGAGUAGCGGUAAAAUGCGUAGAUCUCGAGAGGAACACCAAUGGCGAAGGCAGCUUCUUGGUCCAUUCCUGACGUUCAUACACGAAAGCGUGGGGAGCAAACAGGAUUAGAUACCCCAGUAGUCCCUGUCUCUUAUAC
rnacentral:rRNA from 1 species